UAAUGGCCUCCCAAGGCGACGACGGGUAGCCGGCGUGAGAGGGCGACCGCCCACACUGGGAGUGAGACACGGCCCAGACUCCUACGGGAGGCAGCAGUGGGGAGUCUUGCGCAAUGGGCGAAAGCCUGACGCAGCAACGCCGCGUAGGGGAUGAAGGCCUCCGGGUGGUAAACACCUUUCAGCAGGGACGAAGCGAAAGUGACGGUACCUCCAGAAGAAGCGCCGCCUAAUUACGUGCCAGCAGCCGCGGUAACACGUAGGGCGCGAGCGUUGUCCGCAAUUAUUGGGCGUAAAAAGCUGGUAGGUGGUCCGCCACGUCCGCUGUGAAAACCCAGGGCUUAACCCUGGGCUUCCAGUGGAUACGGGCAGACUAGAGGUAGGUAGGGGAGAAUGGAAUUCCCGGUGUAGCGGUGAAAUG
rnacentral:rRNA from 1 species